ensembl:lncRNA
GUGAUGCCUGGACGCUACCCUUUAUAACUCCCCGAGGCAAAACUACACUGACCACUCUGUUGGAGUGAAACGAAUUCAACCCUUUCUUUACUCUUUCAGGUGUCUCACUGAAGAAAGAAGUAAUCGUAAAAAGGUUCACUGGUUCAGCCAUCGUUGUUUGUUGUGAUGUUCGACGGAGCGGUGGGACCCGGAAGUUUUAUUUUAGUGCCCCACUCCGCACUCCGCAACAAGGUGUGUGCGGAGUGGAUCCGAAUCGCACACAUACCUCCGCUGCCUGCCCUGUAUUGGCCGGCCCACAAUGCUUGUGUAGCCUAUAUAUACGAGCGCUCAAUAUUAUCCUCACCACCAAAACGUCCUGCCUCUCUCCUUGUGUGCGCUUCUGAUCAAAUGUUCUGAGUCCAACGUCCCGGAGCGACCGGACCCGGAGGAUGACCUGCUGGCCCCGGAGGAGUAGCCUACCUGCUGGCCCGGGAGGAGGACCUGCUGGACCCGGAGGAGGACUGGCCGCUAGACCGCGCCGACGACGCCGGUUAAGCAUGGACCAGCUGCCUUCAUUGGAAGCGGAUUCGACGGGAGCGGAUAAACGCUUGGACGUCUGCGCACACACACACUUCUUCGGUGGCUUAGCAAGACAAAUAAUUGCGUUCUUGUGUAAACUCACCUCCAUGCAAUGAUGAACAAAGACAAUAAAACUUUCCAUUUAGCCUCUAGCGAUAUAAACCGGAGUCCCCACACAGAAAACGUCCUAUGCUUAAUAAUCUUUUCCAAUCGAUUAAUCAUUUAGUGCCACUGCCAGUGAAAUAAGAAAUAGCGCCAGCGUUACAUUUUAGGUUAAAUGUUGACAUUGUUAAGAUCCUCGAAGUCCGUUCUUGUGUAAACUCACCUCCAUGUAAUGAUGAACACUGACAAUAAAAGACCCGUUGCUUAUUUGUGUUUUGCGUCGUCUAUAAAG